GAUGAACGCUGGCGGCGUGCCUAAUACAUGCAAGUCGAGCGAACAGAUGAGGCGCUUGCUCCUCUGACGUUAGCGGCGGACGGGUGAGUAACACGUGGAUAACCUACCUAUAAGACUGGGAUAACUUCGGGAAACCGGCGCUAAUACCGGAUAAUAUAUUGAACCGCAUGGUUCAAUAGUGAAAGACGGUUUUGCUGUCACUUAUAGAUGGAUCCGCGCCGCAUUAGCUAGUUGGUAAGGUAACGGCUUACCAAGGCAACGAUGCGUAGCCGACCUGAGAGGGUGAUCGGCCACCCUGGAACGGAGACACGGUCCAGACUCCUGCGGGAGGCAGCAGUAGGGAAUCUUCCGCAAUGCGCGAAAGCCUGACGGAACAACGCCGAGUGAGUGAUGAAGGUCUUCGGAUCGUAAAACUCUGUUAUUAGGGAAGAACAAAUGUGUAAGUAACUAUGCACGUCUUGACGGUACCUAAGCAGAAAGCCACGGCUAACUACGUG
rnacentral:rRNA from 1 species